UAUCUCUCCGUACGGGGAAGGAUGAGAAGCUUCGACUAAGGUUCGAUUCGAGCGCAGCGAGAAAGCGUUGCCGCAGGCAACGACCCGAAGG
rnacentral:sRNA from 2 species